GGCUAGUCUCAAGGUAGCAAGUUGUCUCCAUUGACUGCUCACAGUUACACAUGGAACUCCUUGAUCUACUCUUUCCCUCCUUCUCAUGACUAGUCUUAA
rnacentral:sRNA from 1 species